GUGCACCGUGGGGCUCGCAGUCUCCCAGUCUACGAAGGAGGCCGAGCUGGCCCGUCCGCAGUGAGGACUAGCCCCCGCCGAGUUCAGGCGGAAGGUCUCGGGUAACCCGCCAACGCUCUGCACACAAACCCCGGCCUCCAAUGAGUAAGGAAGGCAGGAAGGUCGGCGUUCUCGGCCGCCCGGCGGGUGGGAGCCCACGCCCUGCCUGGAUUUCCUCUCCUCUGGCUCAGCCCUUUGACAGGCGCAUUUUGCUCGUUAAUUGAACAUUAACUGACCUCCUAGAGUUCUGUUUCAAGUCACCGGGAGAGUCAGUUCUCACUUCACCUAAGAGAUGAGAACCACUUGGGGAGCUUUUUAAAAAUAAUGGUGCUUGUGUUCCAUCCUAUACUUCGAAAUUUUGGAGGUUGACCUGGGACUCUAGCUCAGGGUCUUUCGUUGGCCAUGUCUGAAGGGACUGGAUGCCAAAGGAGAGAGACGACUUUGCUUUCCAGAGGAGGGUCUGUGCCAUCUGACUCCCACAGGACCCCUUGGUCAGCGGCUCCAUCACUGGGCCUGGAGACUGUGUUGCUGUGCUGAAGCAGAAGAAGUUGGGAAAGGCUCUGAGAAACAGAAGAACACAGGCCCACCAAAGCCUGCCCUGUCCUCUUCCUCCCAGGACAGCUGUUCAUAAGCCAGGAGCAGGGGGAUGCCAAGCACGCCCUUUACAGCAGAGUGGUACUCAGGGACCCUGGGGCUAGGGGUGCUGCCCAGAACAGUCCAAAUCUUAUCUCAUCCCUGAGCAAUAAGUUAUGUUGCCCACAAUGUCAAGUCAGAGGACUUGGUUUUGACAUUGGUUUUGCUCUGGUUUUGAUAUUCUAUGUCCUCCAAGGGUUCAUGUGUUGAAAUUGAGUCCCCACUGUGAGGAAUCAGAGGAUGGAGACUUAUUCUGCUAUUUUAGGGGUGGGGCCUUUGGAGGUGAUUAGGAUUAGAAAAGGUCAUCUAGGAGGGGCCCCCAUGAUUGAAUCCUGAUGGCUUUGUAAAAAGACAGAAAGACCAGAGGAGGCACAGACACACAUGUACACUCCCUAUCUUUUGCCAUGUGACAUCUUGUACCACCUUGGGACAAUUCCAACAAGUUGGCCAUCAUCAGAAAUGGUCCUCACCCUUUGAUAAGAACUAUAAACCAAAAUAAUCCUUGUGGGAGGCCAUCCUCGCACGUGAUUUGAGUUACCUCCCUGGCUGGGUGAGAGGCGCUUAGACACAGCUGUAUUAGAGCCUUCCCCACCCUUUCCCAGGUCCGAGGGCUUGUCCGUGCAGAGGCGUGCCUGGCCACUGCCCUGAAGACCCAGUUGUUGCCCCUGACCUUGGGAUGCUGUCCCUCUUAACCUUCAUUGGAUGGGAUUUUCCCUGGAAUUUUUUGUUCCCCAAUUAAAGCCCACUCCCUGGCGUGUUCUCUCUUUCUCGCUAGUCUCUUCUGUAAACCUCACCACCGCAUUAGGUGGUUGGAGGCGGGAGCUAGGAGAAGCCGUCUCGGAGCUGGUAUUAAAGGUAA